AAACCAACAGGGAUUGCCUCAGUAACGGCGAGUGAAGCGGCAAAAGCUCAAAUUUGAAAUCUGGUGUUUUUACACCCGAGUUGUAAUUUGAAGAAGGAUUUCUGGCACAGGCCCCCCGUCUAUGUUCCUUGGAACAGGACGUCACAGAGGGUGAGAAUCCCGUCUGGCGGGGAGGGACCAGUGGCAUUGUAGAUUUCCUUCGACGAGUCGAGUUGUUUGGGAAUGCAGCUCUAAGUGGGUGGUAAAUUCCAUCUAAAGCUAAAUAUUGGCGAGAGACCGAUAGCGAACAAGUACAGUGAUGGAAAGAUGAAAAGAACUUUGAAAAGAGAGUGAAAAAGUACGUGAAAUUGUUGAAAGGGAAGGAUAUUGGAUCAGACUUGGUGUUGGACGGUACCUCGCCACUUGUUGGCGGGAUCACCCGUUCCUCACUGGGCCAGCAUCGGUUUUUGCGGCGGGAUAAUUGCUCAGGGAACGUGGCUCUGCCUUUUAGGCCGAGUGUUUAUAGCCCUGGCACAUACCGCCUGCGUGGACCGAGGACUGCGGCUUUUCUGCCUAGGAUGCUGGCGUAAUGAUUCAAUAUCGC
rnacentral:rRNA from 1 species